rnacentral:rRNA from 1 species
UACGAAGGGGGCUAGCGUUGCUCGGAAUUACUGGGCGUAAAGCGCACGUAGGCGGCUUUCUAAGUCGGGGGUGAAAUCCUGGAGCUCAACUCCAGAACUGCCUUCGAUACUGGAGAGCUUGAGUCCGGGAGAGGUGAGUGGAACUGCGAGUGUAGAGGUGAAAUUCGUAGAUAUUCGCAAGAACACCAGUGGCGAAGGCGGCUCUCUGGGACGGUACUGACGCUGAGACGCGAAAGCGUGGGGAGCGAACAGG